UACGUAGGGGGCAAGCGUUGUCCGGAAUUACUGGGCGUAAAGGGCGCGUAGGCGGCCAAAUAAGUCAGAUGUGAAAGUCCACAGCUCAACUGUGGAAUUGCAUUUGAAACUAUUUGGCUUGAGUGCAGGAGAGGAGAGCGGAAUUCCUAGUGUAGCGGUGAAAUGCGUAGAGAUUAGGAAGAACACCAGUGGCGAAGGCGGCUCUCUGGACUGUAACUGACGCUGAGGCGCGAAAGCGUGGGUAGCGAACAGGAUUAGAUACCCUGGUAGUCCACGCCGUAAACGAUGAGUGCUAGGUGUUGGGUGUCAAAGCUCAGUGCCGCAGUUAACACAUUAAGCACUCCGCCUGGGGAGUACGACCGCAAGGUUGAA
rnacentral:rRNA from 1 species